GUUGAUGGGCUUGAGAUAUGGUCAGCAAUCAAGAAAUUGGUUAAACAAUACUGUUCCUUCUAUUACAAGACAAAUGACAUGGUUAGACAGGACUCUGAACUGCAAUCCUGGUGGAAGGAAAUCCAAGAGAAGGGUCAUGGUGACAAGAAAGGUGAACUAUGGUGGCCCAGGAUGCAAACUUUUGAUGAGCUAAUUGAAACAUGCACUAUCAUCAUAUGGAUAGCUUCUGCCCUUCAUGCAGCCAUCAAUUUUGGACAAUAUCCUUAUGGAGGUUACCUCCCCAACCGCCCAACCAUAAGUCGCAGGUUGAUGCCUGAAAAAGGUUCUGCUGAGUACAAGGAGCUUGAGACCAAUUUUGAAGAGGCUUUCUUCAAAACCAUCACUGCCAAGCCACAGGCACUUCUUGGUAUUUCCCUUGUAGAAAUCUUGUCAAUGCAUUCACCAGAUGAGGAAUAUCUUGGGCAGCGAACCCCUGGAUGGACUUCAGAUACAGAACCAUUGCAAGCAUUUAAGAAAUUUCAGGAGACACUGGAAGGAAUUGGGAAAAGAAUUUCGGACAGGAACAUAGAUACAAAAUUGAAGAACCGUAUUGGACCUGUCAAUAUGCCAUACACUCUCCUCUUUCCAACAAGCGAAGAAGGACUUACAGGAAAGGGCAUCCCCAACAGUAUUUCUAUUUAAAGCUACUCUGCAAGGCUUCUUGUUUUUACUGUUGCUUUAGUUUACCAUUAGAUGUUCUUCACAAUGUGGAUUAAUAAUGAAAUGAAUAAUUGUUUAGCCACCUAAUCAAUUGGUCAUCCUUAUUUUGAUUGAUUUUUCACCUGUUGGUUACGCAAACUCGUUAGUUUAAUGCUGAACUUUCU
rnacentral:misc_RNA from 1 species